GACGAACGCUGGCGGCGUGCUUAACACAUGCAAGUCGAACGGAAAGGCCCUGCUUUUGUGGGGUGCUCGAGUGGCGAACGGGUGAGUAACACGUGAGUAACCUGCCCUUGACUUUGGGAUAACUUCAGGAAACUGGGGCUAAUACCGGAUAGGAGCUCCUGCUGCAUGGUGGGGGUUGGAAAGUUUCGGCGGUUGGGGAUGGACUCGCGGCUGAUCAGCUUGUUGGUGGGGUAGUGGCUUACCAAGGCUUUGACGGGUAGCCGGCCUGAGAGGGUGACCGGCCACAUUGGGACUGCGGUACGGCCCAGACUCCUACGGGGGGCAGCAGUGGGGAAUAUUGCUCAAUGGGCGGAAGCCUGAUGCAGCAACGCCGCGUGCGGGAUGACGGCCUUCGGGUUGUAAACCGCUUUCGCCUGUGACGAAGCGUGAGUGACGGUAAUGGGUAAAGAAGCACCGGCUAACUACGUG
rnacentral:rRNA from 1 species